GGGUAGUGCGGCAGCUACACAUGCAGUCGAGCGGUAGCACAAGAGAGCUUGCUCUCUGGGUGACGAGCGGCGGACGGGUGAGUAAUGUCUGGGAAACUGCCUGAUGGCGGGGGAUAACUAGUGGAAACGGUAGCUAAUACCGCAUAACGUCGCAAGACCAAAGUGGGGGACCUUCGGGCCUCACGCCAUCAGAUGUGCCCAGGUGGGAUUAGCUGGUAGGUGGGGUAACGGCUCACCUAGGCGACGAUCCCUAGCUGGUCUGAGAGGAUGACCAGCCACACUGGAACUGAGACACGGUCCAGACUCCUACGGGAGGCAGCAGUGGGGAAUAUUGCACAAUGGGCGCAAGCCUGAUGCAGCCAUGCCGCGUGUGUGAAGAAGGCCUUCGGGUUGUAAAGCACUUUCAGCGAGGAGGAAGGGUAAUGUGUUAAAGAACAUUGCAAAAGGGGGCGGGG
rnacentral:rRNA from 1 species